rnacentral:rRNA from 1 species
AUACGGAGGGUCCAAGCGUUGUUCGGAAUCAUUGGGCGUAAAGCGGGUGUAGGCGGCUUGGCAAGUCGGAUGUGAAAUCCCAGGGCCCAACCCUGGAACUGCAUUCGAAACUGCUUCGCUAGAGUCGCGGAGAGGAUGGCGGAAUUCCCGGUGUAGGGGUGAAAUCCGUAGAUAUCGGGAGGAACACCAGUGGCGAAGGCGGCCAUCUGGACGCUGACUGACGCUCAGACCCGAAAGCGUGGGGAGCAAACAGGAUUAGAAACCCCGGUAGUCC